AUCUGAAUCUGGGAUUUUUGAAAUCUAAUAAAUCUUGGAUCGGUGAUCUGUUUAAUAAUACUUUUUUUUUUCAAAUUGCAAUUUCUCAAUAUGGAUUUGUUUAUAUGACUAUGAGCAUUGUGCAAGAUACCUUAAAUUCUAUUAAGCAUUCCUGGACAUCCUGGUGAAGAAUCAUGUCAUUUGAUACAAUUAAUCUUAAAUAACUCAUUCCUUUUUUGGGGCUUCUAUUUGCAGUUAUUUUUACUCAUUCCUUUUUUGGGGCUUCUAUUUGCAGUUUACUCAUUCCUUUUUGGGGGCUUCUAUUUGCAGUUAUUUUUACAUGAUCUUGCAAAUUAUGGAACCAAAAAGUAAUUUGGGCCAAACAUAUCCAUGAAUCUCAUCAAGGUGGGUAUCAAUGGCCAUUCUAGAACAAGUGAACAAUGGAAGCAGAUGGGAGAUGCAAAGAAAAAGGUAGUAGUUAAUUCUGAAAUAAAGUGAAUUAAGGAGCUUCUAGGGAAUAGUACUUAUUCACUGUUCUUUGUUGCUUUCUGGAGUUGGUUUUGACAGCCCUUUCAGAUCCAAACCUCUCAUUCACUAUCCUUAUCACCUUUAGGACAGUCAUUUGAUCACUGUCAUACUUUUCUUGUGGGUGAUUGACUGUUAUAUUAGAGAAUGGAAUCUUUCUUAUGGUGAGAUAACCUUUGAUCUCUGUCAUGAUCCAAUGUUGUCCUUUGUGACUUUGAAUCUGCCUUUAUACCUAUCUUUGAUAAUGAAGCCUGCAUAUACCAUUCCUUUUUCAUUCAACUUUGGUGCUUGGAGUGUUCUAGGGAUUGUAUCUUUGCACUUAGAGUCAAGAUUGUGACUAUAUCUGUCUAAACUCCCUGUGCUUUGUGUCACCGCAUCUUUGAGUUUGGUCUUUUGUUUUUGAUGUCAUAUGAUACUGUACUUUGGAUGCAUGCCAUUCUCUUAUAUGGGCAUUGUCCUUUGAAUAUAUCACAAUUUUACUGUUAAAUAAAGCUUUCUUUGCUCUGCAAUAUACUCACAUCUCCCCUCCACAUGGUCUAUCUUCAUUGGUAUCAAAAGCUACAAAUAUGAACUGAGGGUAUCAUAUGGGACAAUAUUUGUUAGUUAUUUCGUUUGGUAUUUUUGUCUUCACAAAGGAAAGAGGGCAUGUGCGUUUGGUAUUUAAUUUUUUUUCGACUUAAAAAUACAUAUUAUUGGCAGAAGAUUGUCAACACUUUUAUACCAUUGUAUUUAAUUAAUUUUCAAGUCAACUGAGCUUGGUCAUAGCUUACAUCAUAGAAAUAUUAAAAAAGCGCACUCUGCAGAGUUGUCUCAGUCAGAUGUGAUUCAAUUUAUCACAUUCUCAAAGUCAAUAGAUUACCAUCAGGCUUACGUUCAGGAGUUUCCAUAAUUAUCACACCUUCGUUUUUCAUUCAUCUAAUUGACAAUUUUUAUCAGACAUCCACCAUUUUAUAGUCAUUCCAAGGACCAUGAGGCUUUAUGGUUCCUAAUCAACAUAUUCAACUAAGCAGUAUAGCAGACAUGGGAUCCUUUUGGCCUUUGAUGAACAAAAGAGAUUUAUGACUGCUAUCUUGUACCUCUAUUGUACUAGAUUGUGGUGCUAUGACUAUGAUUGUUAUGAGGCUGCACAUUUAAAGAAUGGCACGUUGUUUGAUCUUUUGUUGUUUAGGAUAGUCACAAACUUGGUAUGACAUUUUCACUGUUAAAGUUACUCACUCUUUGAAUUCAUUGAUAGUUCUUGGGACUUCAUAGUGAAUGUAGACUAUGUUCUUGGUUGGUGUAAGGCUCUCUGAUUCAUAAAACUCCCAUCACUGCCAUUAACCAGUUUGACAGUUUUUUGUUGCUUUUGACCAGAAUCAGGGUCUGCUCUGUGUCUGAAUUUGCUGUUCAUUUGAAUUCUUCUCAAGCCUGUGACUGUCCUGUUGGUGGCAUGCAUGUCUCUAAGACUCCCUUGUAUAAGGUUUUGUCUGUCAAUAAUGCUGCAAUAAUCCCUUAUGAUUGUUCUUCAUCUUGCUAGCCUUGUUUUGAAGGCUUUGAGCAUGUUAGUUUGUUUAGGAGGAUCUUGUGGCCAUUUUCCCCUUGAAAUUAUUACAAACUUGUCCAUGGUUGGACUGUGAUUCUUCUCCUUAAUCAUAUAACGUUGUUCUAUUCAUUAUUACUCUAGGUUUGCCCCAUGGCUGCCAUGAAGCUUCCUUAGAACUACCAAAGUGCUCAUAUUACUUGUUUUUUAAAGAUCUUAUGGAACUUUAAACUCUUCUAAAAGCAAAAAAUUACACAUUGUGAUCACUCAUGGUGCCAUUCAAUGCUAUGACUAAUCUCAGAAGUAGAAGAUACAAAACUUCCAUUUACACAAGAGACUGAACUUUUCUUUAAAAUAGUAAAGCGAGGGUUACAAAAGAGAAGAAAUAGACCUUUUUAAAAGUAGAAUAAACAUGUUCCUGCAUGAACCUCUUUGGAACAUUGCUUUCUACGUGAAGACUCCUCAUUAUUAGGUUUUUUCCCUCUGAUGCAUCUACUGAAACUCUUCUUGAACUCUUGGAACUGCACAAUAAAGCUUUAAGAACUUCGCACAAAUCCUUGCACGACUUAUAAAGACUACUUGUUGAUGAUCUCAUUGGCGGUGUGGUUGAGUUGUUGGAAUAUCUGCAUGAGGCAUGGGAUCAGCUAUAUGUUUGCAUGGAGUCUUCAGUAUAUUUCUUCCUGCAACCUAAGAAACCCUUGUCUCCACAUGAAAGAUCAUGAUAGAGAGGAAAACUUUGUGUAAAUCUCGAGAUAAGAAAACCUAAAUUGCAAUGUGAGAGUUGAAAAUCUAAACUAGUAGAUCCCUCUAGAACUCCCUUUUGAACUUUAAACAUCAUUUCCUUCAAAGUACGUUGAUUUUUUUUUAACAAUAUAAAGCUUUCCUUUAAAGGAUUUCACAAUGUAUGGAAACAAAAUGAAAUUAGUUUGCCCUCUUUUAAUCAUCUUAAACUGCCAAAAUUUACUUAGAUGAAACCAUAAGACUCGACUCAAACUAUUUUAAACCAAGAUGGGUAGAAAUAAGUAACAAUUAUGACUGUCUUUUUGAGUGUUACGCAGGUACAAACUCAAUAAAUUAGAAAAGAAUUUUUUUGGAAAAUAUUCAUUCAAUCUACAUAUUAUUUCAAUUCUAAUUUUCCUUUGUGUUUUUCCAUUGUCAUUAUUAUUUCUAAACUUUCAAAAUAUAAGAGCAAACUAAAAUUUAGCAUAAGCUUAUCAUGAAAUUUCAAACAUUUCAUAAACAUUAUUACUAAUUCUAACCUGUACUACUCAGCCAGUAAUUAUGUUUUUGAGAUUUUUACAUUAGCAUGUAUGUAGUAGUAGAUGUUAACAUUCAAUAUCUUCUUGUUAUCUUAUUAUUCAGUUUACAUCCAGCUAGUUUAACAUCACCCUUUGCAGGUCAAUGAUUUGAGUGUAAAGGAUAAAUUAAACUAGUUAGGGGAUGCUGGAAGAUUUCUUAUAUGCUUUUAAGACUCUGUUUAUCAUCCAUUUCAGGGAGCAAGAGGCUUGUUUCAUUUGAGUGGAUACAGUGGUCCAUUUUAAGACAUCCAGUUAUGGAUACGUUCUUUCUUUCCUCAAUUAUUCAUGACUGAUGAAUGUUGAUAAGAUUUCAGUGUAUAGGCUGUUUAUUCAAUUUCUCAUUUAUUUUAGCAAUUUCUUAUUGGAGUUUGGGACAAUCAUAUAUUUGUAUAUAGUGUCCUAUUCUCAUGGCAACUCUUCCAGAAAUUGCUGGUACUCACAAUUCAUUUUGUUAUCCCCAUUGCAUUAAAUAAUACUCUUUUGAGGCAAAGCUUGUUUGAGCUUUCUUUUUUAUUGUCGUGAUUAAUUAAAAUAAAUUUGUAUAAUUAUUUGUUUUAUGACAGCUGAGCCAUUUAAAAGUUAAACUAAUGAAAGAGAGGUGCUAAUUAACAAGGGCCUUGUAGAUCCAUCAGUGUGAGAAAAAGUAUGCUAUCCAUCAGCCUGUCUUUCAAAUUGUCUUUUGGAAUAUCUUUCUGUUUUCUUGAAAGCCAAAAAAGGUUCAAUUACUAAACUAAAGUCAAACAUAGGUUAUAAAGAAAUACAAAUCUUUUUUGCAGAUAUGAUUGUCUGUAGUUAAUUUUUUCAGGGUUUGAAGCAUCUUAUUUUGUGUUUGACUUUUGUUAGAUUAUACUUUCUAGAAAAGUUUUAUGGAGCUUGUAAAUUGUCAACUAUACACAUUCCAGAAAAUUAUAUGUGGCGUAACAAAAUUUUAUGGAGAUUUCAAGUUGGCAAUUAAUUUGAGGAAAGCAUUCUUUGCUAAAUACUUGGGAGAGGCGUGGCAGUUCUAGAGUUAACAUUGUGUGGCUUAGAAAGAAAUCUUUGUGGGGAAAGCAAAAAAUCAUGGCAUUUGAAUGUACAGAAUUAACCUGCGCUAAUAAGAUGCACAGAGCACAUGAAAGGUGCAGACACAAAACAGUUUUAUUACAACACCAAUUUAGAAUUCAGGUGAUAAAAAUGCUUAAACUCUACCUCUGAGAAGGUCCUGGUCCCUGGAUGCCCCGUCCAUCCUAACAAUAUUUAUAAUCAUGAGCGAGGGGUUAUGUCCAAUCAGCAGAUACAUAUGGUGGCACACAUACAUGGAAGUUGAAGAGAAAUUGAACUUUGGACAUUUUGUUUCUGAUGUCAAUGUUUACUAUCCUCAACGUUUCUUAUUGUUUUAUUAUUACUGUCGAAUAUGCAGAUUGAGAAGUUGAGUGACAAGCAGUGUCAACCUAUUUCACAGCUGAAGUUUGUGAUUGAUGCAUGGUUACAGGCUGACGCAAUGUGACAUGUAUUAUGUUCAAGCUCAAGAGCAGGGUUUACAUUGAAUAUAAUUCACACACCAUGGUUAAUAGAAAGUGGUUUUGUUAACGAUCAUGCUAUCGACCUUAUAAAAAGGUUUCUGACAAACAAGAUUAUUAAUGUCCUGCUUAUGUGGAUCGGCAAGAUAGUUAUUGAGUUGAUAACUUGGGUAAACAAAUCCAAAAGGCUAUUUUGAUACUUUUCAAAAACAAUUAUGGCAGGCAAGCUUGGUGAUCUUUACACAUGCUCAACUCUCUUUUCCAGAUGGCUUAAGUUUUGCUAGCUUUGUUCAAAGGAGACCAACGACAUUGCAUUAUGCAAUUCUUGAAAUAAUUGGGUUCAAGAAAUCUGAUAUCUAGAUGACUUACAAUAAUACUAUGCGUGCUUUCUAUAAAUGCUAGUAAGCUACUGCAAUUUCAUGAGCCAUUCUUGCUAAUGGAAACUCAUGCACACAUUGGAAGCUCUUCA